rnacentral:rRNA from 1 species
GACAGAGGGUGCAAACGUUGUUCGGAAUUACUGGGCGUAAAGCGAGUGUAGGCGGUUUGGUAAGUCGGAUGUGAAAGCCCCGGGCUCAACCCGGGAAGUGCACUCGAUACUGCCAAGCUAGAGUAUCGGAGAGGUUGGUGGAAUUCUCGGUGUAGAGGUGAAAUUCGUAGAUAUCGAGAGGAACACCGGUGGCGAAGGCGGUUCUCUGGGCAUGUCCUGACGCUGAGGAGCGAAAGUGUGGGGAGCGAACAGG